rnacentral:rRNA from 1 species
UACGUAGGGCGCAAGCGUUGUCCGGAAUUAUUGGGCGUAAAGAGCUCGUAGGCGGCUUGUCACGUCGGAUGUGAAAGCCCGGGGCUUAACUCCGGGUCUGCAUUCGAUACGGGCUGGCUAGAGUGUGGUAGGGGAGAUCGGAAUUCCUGGUGUAGCGGUGAAAUGCGCAGAUAUCAGGAGGAACACCGGUGGCGAAGGCGGAUCUCUGGGCCUUACCUGACGCUGAGGCGCGAAAGCUAGGGGAGCGAACAGG